AACGCACAUUGCGCCCUCUGGCAUUCCGGGGGGCAUGCCUGUUCGAGCGUCAUGUCAACACUCAAGCCUGGCUUGGUAUUGGGCGACGGGGUCUCCCCCGCGCCCCGAUUUCGACGGCCGGUCGACCCGGACCCCAGCGUUGUGGCAAUCAAUUCGCUGGCGGGAUGGGGCGGGCGUCGCCGCAAAACAGUCUAUCGCAGGUUGACCUCGGAUCAGGUAGGGAUACCCGCUGAACUUAA
rnacentral:misc_RNA from 1 species